rnacentral:rRNA from 1 species
AUGAAGAGGAAGAGAGAAGAUAGGAAGAGGAAGCCAUGGAAUAUCACUUGUGUGGGGUGUAAAGCGAAAUUUGUCAUUGCAAGAGUCGCGAAAACAGGGCGGUGGUUUGUGAAAGAUUUCAUCGAUGAACACAACCAUCCUCUGGCCCCACGAGACCUUUCUUGCUUUCUGCGUUCCCACAGAAGAAUCAACGACGAGAAGAAAGCGGACAUUAUAGAGAUGGAAAGUGUUGGAAUCAAGAAACACAAAAUCAUGGAUGUGUUGUGCAUGCAGUACGGUGGAUAUGACCAUGUUGGAUGCACGAUGAGGGACAUCUAUAACUUCUGCCAUCGCUACAAGCAGGAAACAGUCGCUGCCGGUGAUGCUCAGAUGGUGAUCUGUCACAUGAUGGCGCGGCAAGAGAGAGACCCAGAUUAUUUCUUCAAAUACUUGGUUGAUAAAGCUGGGCAUCUGAAGGGAUUGUUCUGGUCCGAUACUUAA